rnacentral:lncRNA from 1 species
CUCCAUUUUUAAUUAGCAUCGUGUCAGAAGCAUUUCUCAUAUCAUUGAAUGCUUAAUAAAGUCAUUUUAAAUUGUUCAUAUAUAUAUAUAUAUAUAUAUAUAUAUAUAUAUAUAUAUGAUCAUAUCAUAUAUACUUAACCCUUAUGUUAUUGUUGGACACAAGAUUUAACCUGGAAUUUAGUAAUUCAAAUAAUGUAUUAGUUAAACAUGUAAAAUAUGUGGCAUCUGUCCACAUAUAUUAUUUUCUGAAGAUAGAAAACUAGAAGGAGAAUCAUUGUCUCAAAAAGUACUAUCAUUUUUAAAGCUACCAAUAUAUUUUGCUAAAUUUAUGUGCAAUGAAUGGUCUUCUAAUAUUUUCAAUAAUAGAUUAUGAGAAUAUAUUUAUUAAUUUAUUCUGACCAGCAAGACUUCAAGAGUUGAUUUUAGAGUUUGGUUUAUGUGGUGAUGCCAUCUAGUGGCCACAGAUCAAAAUGACAAAAUCAGAAGUGGAAAAGACGUUUCGGAAAUGUGAUUUAAAGUUAAAGCAAAUAGCCCAGGUCUUAAAAGUUUUCAAAAAUGCCACAGUCUGGCUGGGCACAAAUCACGAGCCACUCAAGCAGCAAUAAACUUUAUUUCUGAACUCCACCAGCACACUCACACACGCUCCCCGGGAACUCUCCCGAACGCCACGGGGCUCUUCCAGGAACCACACACAGGAAAUCCCUCCUCCAGCACUUCCCCAACCAAUGUGAACUCUUCAGGAAUUCCCGCGAGAGCUCAACCAGAACUCAACGGGAACUCCGCGAGAACUCAAAAGUCAUCAUCUUACUGGCUUGCUGGCGUCACCUCUCAACCACUACUUCUGGCAAAAAUGCCAUGCGUCAUCCCGACUCGGCUGUGGCCCUCAACACAAAAAAGCAUCCCUCAUAUUUGAACUUUUUAAAAUUCCUGGAAGCCAUAUGAAAUAAAGUUUACAAACAGUCUCACAUGAUACUCUAAAAUUCAUCUACACCACUGAAUUUCUGGAGCACACAUUCACAUGGUAAAUAAUCAUAUCUAGGGUUGAAGUCAGAGAGGAAGCUUCAGUGUGUGGCCUUAAGGACUUUAAAGUUUAAUGAGGAUACAUGAAAGCAAACUUAUCAUUACAAACUUGACCAAAAGCUUUUGCAAAUGCAAAAUAGUAUUUACUAAUCCUCUUCCCAUAAGUCUUAUCCUGUAAGCCUGUGUGUGUGUGUGUGUGUGUGUGUGUGUUUCUCUCUCUUUGCCACUCCCACAGGAAACAAUCAACCAUGAUGUGAAUAAUCCCAGCAAGAGGUUUAUGUGGCAAAG